rnacentral:rRNA from 1 species
ACGCUGGCGGCAGGCCUAACACAUGCAAGUCGAACGGCAGCACAGUAGGAAGCUUGCUUCCUAUGCCUGGCGAGUGGCGGACGGGUGAGGAAAACAUCGGAAUCUGCCCAGUCGUGGGGGAUAACGUAGGGAAACUUACGCUAAUACCGCAUACGACCUGACGGGUGAAAGCGGAGGACCUUCGGGCCUCGCGCAGAAAGAUGAGCCUGACGUCCGAUCAGCUAGUUGGCGGGGUAAAGGCCCACCAAGCCAACGAUCCGGUAGCUGGUCUGAGAGGACGACCAGCCACACUGGAACUGAGACACGGCCCAGACUCCUACGGGAGGCAGCAGUGGGGAAUAUUGGACAAUGGGGGAAACCCUGAUCCAGCAAUGCCGCGUGAGUGAAGAAGGCCUUCGGGUUGUAAAGCACUUUCAGCAGGAAAGAAAAGCUGCGCGCUAACAUACCGCGCGGACAUGACGGUCACCAGCAGAAAAAGCACCGGCUAACUACGUGCCAGCAGCCGCGGUAAUACGUAGGGUGCGAGCGUUAAUCGGAAUUACUGGGCGUAAAGCGUGCGCAGGCGGAUAUGCUAAGACAAGAUGUGAAAUCCCCGGGCUCAACCUGGGAACUGCAUUUGUGACUGCACGGCUAGAGUGCGUCAGAGGGAGGUAGAAUUCCACGUGUAGCAGUGAAAUGCGUAGAGAUGCGGAGGAACACCGAUGGCGAAGGCAGCCCCCUGGGAUAACACUGACGCUCAUGCACGAAAGCGUGGGGAGCAAACAGGAUUAGAUACCCUGGUAGUCCACGCCCUAAACGAUGUCAACUAGUUGUCGGGGAUUAAUUGACUUGGUAACGCAGCUAACGCGUGAAGUUGACCGCCUGGGGAGUACGGUCGCAAGAUUAAAACUCAAAGGAAUUGACGGGGACCCGCACAAGCGGUGGAUGAUGUGGAUUAAUUCGAUGCAACGCGAAAAACCUUACCUACCCUUGACAUGGCAGGAAUCCCGGAGAGAUCUGGGAGUGCUCGAAAGAGAACCUGCACACAGGUGCUGCAUGGCUGUCGUCAGCUCGUGUCGUGAGAUGUUGGGUUAAGUCCCGCAACGAGCGCAACCCUUGUCAUUAGUUGCUAAGAAAGGGCACUCUAAUGGGACUGCCGGUGACAAACCGGAGGAAGGUGGGGAUGACGUCAAGUCCUCAUGGCCCUUAUAGGUGGGGCUACACACGUCAUGCAAUGGCUGGUACAAAGGGUUGCCAACCCGCGAGGGGGAGCUAAUCCCAUAAAGCCAGUCGUAGUCCGGAUCGUAGUCUGCAACUCGACUACGUGAAGUCGGAAUCGCUAGUAAUCGUGGAUCAGAAUGUCACGGUGAAUACGUUCCCGGGUCUUGUACACACCGCCCGUCACACCAUGGGAGCGGGUUCUGCCAGAAGUAGUUAGCUUAACCGCAAGGAGGGCGAUUACCACG